CCCAGCCCCAUAUUUUGUGUUCUUAAUGACAGCCAUGCUGAUUGGGAUAAAAUGAAAUCUCAAAAUUGUUCUGAUUUGUAUUUCCCUAAUGGCUAAUGAUGUUGAAUAUUUUAAUGUAUCUAAUGUACUUCAUAUACCACUUGUACUUCUUUUGAGAAGUGUCCAUUCAGUUCAUUUGUCCUUUUUUUGAUUGAGUCAUUUAUUUUGGGAGGGUUAGCUCUUCAGUUCUUUAUAUAUUCUUGGUAUUAAUCCUCAGCGGGAAGAGAAGCUCUUUGUGCUGCUGAGGCCAGAGCCAGCCCCUUGUGCAUGCUAAGCACGUAAUCUAACGCUGAGCUACAUCCCCAGACCCCAAUCAUUCUCUUAAAAUCACAUGUUCUUGUCUUAUUCAUUGUAGCAAAUAUACUACUCUUCUCACGGAUAGUGAAAACAGGCUAUUGCUCUUCCCAUCCAUGAAACCUAAUAGAAGAGUGGAAGUGGUCCAACUGAGUGAAGUGAUGAACACUAUGCUAGAGAGGGCUGGUGUAGAAAAUGAGGAAUAUGCAGGAACAACCAAGCCAGAUGUACCAGCUAUUACAUAUGUUAAAGAAGGAGGAGAGCAUCUACAACACAGUAUUUCAUGAACUUACUCGACAAGUCAGUGUGGACUGUGCAGAUAGAGGAGAGCUACUGUCCAAAAUCAGGUAAUUGAAAGAAAUGGAGUCAUAUUGGCCAAAAGGCUCUUCCUCAAUGAAAAAAGCUGGAAUAAAUAUACUAAGCAUUUCAUCACAUUGCUGUCAA